UAUGGCCACAUCAUGUUGGAACACCAGUUCCUGUACAAUCGCCAAAGUUAAGCAAUGUUGAACCUGAUCAGUACCUAGAUGGGUGACCACUUGGAAAUACCAGGUGCUGUA
rnacentral:rRNA from 1 species